rnacentral:rRNA from 1 species
AUUGCCCCAGUAACGGCGAGUGAAGCGGCAACAGCUCAAAUUUGAAAUCUGGCCUUCGGGUCCGAGUUGUAAUUUGGAGAGGAUGCUUUUGGCGCGGCGCCGUCCGAGUUCCUUGGAACAGGACGCCAUAGAGGGUGAGAGCCCCGUACGGGCGGCCGCCUAGCCUUUGUAAAGCUCCUUCGACGAGUCGAGUAGUUUGGGAAUGCUGCUCAAAAUGGGAGGUAAAUUUCUUCUAAAGCUAAAUACCGGCCAGAGACCGAUAGCGCACAAGUAGAGUGAUCGAAAGAUGAAAAGCACUUUGAAAAGAGGGUUAAAAAGUACGUGAAAUUGUUGAAAGGGAAGCGCCUGUGACCAGACUUGCGACCCGUGGAUCAUCCGGUGUUCUUCACCGGUGCACUCCGCGGGCUGCAGGCCAGCAUCGGUUUUCCUAGGGGGUUAAAGGUCGCAGGAACGUAGCUCUUUCGGGAGUGUUAUAGCCUGUGGCGUCAUGCCUCUGGGGAGACCGAGGACCGCGCUUCGGCAAGGAUGCUGGCGUAAUGGUCACCGGCGACCCGUCUUGAAACACGGACCAAGGAGUCAAGCAUUGGGGCGAGUGUCUGGGUGCCAAACCCGCACGCGAAAUGAAAGUAAACGCAGGUGAGAGCUUCGGCGCAUCACCGACCGAUCCUGAUGUCUUCGGAUGGAUUUGAGUAAGAGCCUUACCGCUUGGACCCGAAAGAUGGUGAACUAUGCCUGUAUAGGGUGAAGCCAGAGGAAACUCUGGUGGAGGCUCGCAGCGGUUCUGACGUGCAAAUCGAUCGUCAAAUAUGGGCAUGGGGGCGAAAGACUAAU